AUACCAUGGUGUGGGAACUCUCUUUAAAGAUCUUUGUACCUUUCCCAUUCAUCAUAAAGACAUUCAUUGUCUUUCUCCCUGAAAGUAUUGAGUUCUGUUCGAAGUUU